AAGUUUGAUCCUGGCUCAGGAUAAACGCUGGCGGGUGCUUUAUGCAUGCAAGUCGAACGGUUUUUCCCGCAAGGGAAGGAUAGUGGCAAACGGGUGAGUAACGCGUAAGUAACCUGCCCCUAAGUGGGGGAUAACUCUGAAAAUCGGAGCUAAUACCGCAUGUGGUUCUUCACCACAAGAUGAAGAACUAAAGUCGUAAGACGCUUGGGGAGGGGCUUGCGUCCGAUUAGCUAGUUGGUAGAGUAACAGCCUACCAAGGCGGUGAUCGGUAGCUGGUCUGAGAGGAUGAUCAGCCACACUGGGACUGAGACACGGCCCAGACUCCUACGGGAGGCAGCAGCAAGGAAUUUUGUGCAAUGGGCGAAAGCCUGACACAGCGACGCCGCGUGGGGGAGGAAGGCCUUCGGGUUGUAAACCCCUUUUCUCAGGGAGGAAUAAUGACAGUACCUGAGGAAUAAGCAACAGCUAACUACGUGCCAGCAGCCGCGGUAAA
rnacentral:rRNA from 1 species